rnacentral:rRNA from 1 species
UACAGAGGUCUCAAGCGUUGUUCGGAUUCAUUGGGCGUAAAGGGCGCGUAGGCGGCGGGGCAAGUCGGGUGUGAAAUCUCAGGGCUCAACCCUGAAACUGCACUCGAUACUGCUUUGCUUGAGGACUGGAGAGGAGACUGGAAUUCACGGUGUAGCAGUGAAAUGCGUAGAUAUCGUGAGGAAGACCAGUGGCGAAGGCGGGUCUCUGGACAGUUCCUGACGCUGAGGCGCGAAGGCCAGGGGAGCAAAGCGGGAUUAAGAUGAACCCUUGUAGUA